rnacentral:lncRNA from 1 species
GAGAAUUCCAGAAUCAAUCUAAAAUGUAAUGUCUCCCAUCUUCCCGAGUGGCUGCUUUCACAACAUAUAGCUAAUGGUGCCCAUUACAGCAGCAGAGACAAAGACAGCCAGCAGUAAAUCUUUCUCUUUUUUACAGUUGGCUCUGGUUUAGGAAGAUUUACUUUUAUAACAGCUAUGGAGACUUCCACCUUAUCAACCUCUACUCAUUUAAUACCUUUCUCCCAAAUCUUUUUUACAGUCUUUCACAGUAAUGACAGGUCCUAAGGGUCAGAACUAGAAGUACUUUCUUUGUGAGUCUCAAAGAGUUUGAUUUUGAUAAAUUACUUUUAUUGUCUUAGCUCAGUUUUGGAAUAUCCUUGAUUUUACUUUGAAAAGUUUUCACAGUGUGGAUUCUGGUGGAGCUUGGGCAGUAUAGAAGAGGGAUGAAAAGGUGGAAACCAAGCAGAAGAGAGGCCGCACUUUUUAUUGCAUUUUGAAGUAUGCUUUAUGGAUUUGGGACAUGCUUUGUUGGUCUAGUGUCCUGGAAAGAUAAUUGAAUCAUCCUUCUCAAUGGACCAGUUUCUGAACUGCUACAGAAAGAGACUGGCUCGGGAGUUGGCUUCUGCCCUGCUGAUUGAUGUGCCUUCUCCACCAUCCUUCAGCACAAUCGGCGCAGCCCACCAGGAGUACCACUCAGGAGCCACCGACAUCAUUUGAAUGACCCUUCAUCACCUCCAGUCCUCUCUUAAAACUUCCAUUAAAAGAGGUCAAAUGCUGCCUCGGAGCCUGUUAGCAGCUCCCACCUGAAAGUCACCCAAUUUUCAUUUACAAUUUGUUAGUCAUUUGUGACGUGUUUUUCAGCAGUGCUCUUUUUAACAGCUUCCAGUUUGUUCAGUGUCUUUUCUCCACCUGCUCAGAGAACUUCUUCUGAUGGGAAAAGUUCAGUUGAUACCAAGGAAAGUUUAAUAUACUUCUAUGUUUAUCCUUUAAGAUUUCUUUUCUUUCUGGCUGAUAGGUGAUGAAACAACAUUCACACAACUACAAAGUUCCCCUUUCUAUGAUGGAUAAAUUUCAUGUCAUCCCAGAAUACCUAAAAAAUUCAUUCUUGAGUAGGAAGAAUUGAUCUUCUUUGCUGUUGUAGGCCUGAAGUCCUGUUUCCUUACUUUAUAUCAACCAUUCUUAGCUCCCACAGGCUGCCCAUGUUCCUUGCCAUGCAGCCUUCUUUAUCUUCAAUUUAGAAACAGCAAGUCAAAUAUUUCUCAUGCUUUGUAUCUCUGACUUCAUCUUCUGUGACCAGCCAGUGAAAAAGUUCGGCUUUUAAAGAGCUCCUUUGAUUAAAUCUGACCCACGUGGAU